UUAAAAGUAGUGGUAUUUCA
rnacentral:misc_RNA from 1 species